rnacentral:rRNA from 1 species
UACGAAGGGGGCUAGCGUUGCUCGGAAUCACUGGGCGUAAAGCGCACGUAGGCGGAUCGUUAAGUCAGGGGGUGAAAUCCUGGAGCUCAACUCCAGAACUGCCUUUGAUACUGGAGAGCUUGAGUCCGGGAGAGGUGAGUGGAACUCCGAGUGUAGAGGUGAAAUUCGUAGAUAUUCGGAAGAACACCAGUGGCGAAGGCGGCUCACUGGCCCGGUACUGACGCUGAUGUGCGAAAGCGUGGGGAGCAAACAGG